GUGCUUGCUUCGGCAGCACAUACACUAAAAUUGGAAUGAUACAGAGAAGAUUAACAUGGCCCCUGUGCAAGGAUGACACGCAAAUUCGUGAAGCGUUCCAUAUUUUU
ensembl:snRNA U6 U6 spliceosomal RNA